GUCACGUGACCGCCUCUUCCGGGGCCCGCGCGGCCGCGAGGACGACCUCGGGCCGUCUGGUCUUUCUCCGUGUGGGUCUCCGUUGCACCUCGCCUUUCCCUCUUGUCGGCUUCGCGGCGGCGCGACCCUGCGUCCCACCCACCCCUCGAUCACCCAGCUCUCGCGACUGCGGCCCAGACGCCGUUCUCCCGGCCGGGGCGCCGCAGCCACCGCGACCGCGUGCACCAGGAGGCCCCGGCGACCCCGUCCAGUCCGGCGCGGGGACGCCCCUGCCCCCCGUGCCGCCGCCCUCUGGCUCCAGCUAAGGCAGGCCCGCAGGGUGGCGGGGGGCCUGCUUCCCAGGUCACCGCCAGCCUGCAGUGACACGGACUUUGCAGCGUCUCGCUUGGGCCGCUGCAAAGUUAGAGGCGGGGAAGGGGUUUUCGUGGGGUGCACUCAGCAAGUUGUCGGCCUCUCCCCGACCCCAGGCCCAAGGUUGAGGCCCAACCCUAAUGGAUUUCAUUUCCAGUGCUAAUGAGAUUUUAUCCUGGGAUUAAGGAAGCUGCCCCGAAUCCACUUUCCGUGCCUUUAGCCAAGAGGCUUCACGAUGGAGUGAUCAGAGACAUUGAGAGGCAGAAUCGGAAAAAAGAAAACAUUCGUCUCUUGGGAGAACAGAUUAUUUUGA